GAGGAAGAUUUUCCUGUAGUCAGAACUGUGUUUGUCAGCCAGCUGAGUAAAGCAGGUUUGGAAUUGUCAGUCUGAUUGCGUGGUUGGCUCUGGUUUGCCACAAUAGAAAUGUCAGUGGCCACUGAGAUCAUCCAGAGGGCAAGGGUUCUUACCACCAUGCCUGAUGACCUGAGUUCAGUCUUUGGAGUCCAUGUGGUGGAAGGAGAGAGCCACGCGUAUGAGUCAUACUCUUACCUCUGUGUCCAUGUUACGGCACACAAACAUCCCCAGCACCACGUGCAUACAGAAGCUCACACACACAAGAAAGAGAAAGCAAGCAAAGAUAAGCAAGGACUUCAUGAGGGAGGGAAGACUAUAGUCUGGCCUGCUCAAGCUGGAUUACUCUGGACUGACUGCCCCCUAGUUCUGGUUUAAAAAAAAAAA
rnacentral:lncRNA from 1 species